rnacentral:rRNA from 1 species
AUUGAACGCUGGCGGAAUGCUUUACACAUGCCAGUCGAGCGGCAGCACGGGGGUAACCCUGGUGGCGAGCGGCGAACGGGUGAGUAAUACAUCGGAACAUGCCCAGUCGUGGGGGAUAACACUUCGAAAGAAGUGCUAAUACCGCAUACGUCCUGAGGGGGAAAGCGGGGGAUCGCAAGACCUCGCGCGAUUGGAGUGGCCGAUGUCAGAUUAGCUAGUUGGUGGGGUAAAGGCCUACCAAGGCAACGAUCUGUAGCUGGUCUGAGAGGAUGAUCAGCCACACUGGGACUGAGACACGGCCCAGACUCCUACGGGAGGCAGCAGUGGGGAAUUUUGGACAAUGGGGGCAACCCUGAUCCAGCCAUUCCGCGUGAGUGAAGAAGGCCUUCGGGUUGUAAAGCUCUUUCGGCAGGAACGAAACGGUGAGCUCUAACAUAGCUUGCUAAUGACGGUACCUGAAGAAGAAGCACCGGCUAACUACGUG